rnacentral:rRNA from 1 species
CGACCGGCCACACUGGGACUGAGACACGGCCCAGACUCCUACGGGAGGCAGCAGUGGGGAAUAUUGCACAAUGGGCGGAAGCCUGAUGCAGCGACGCCGCGUGAGGGAUGACGGCCUUCGGGUUGUAAACCUCUUUCAGCAGGGACGAAGCGAGAGUGACGGUACCUGCAGAAGAAGCACCGGCCAACUACGUGCCAGCAGCCGCGGUAAGACGUAGGGUGCGAGCGUUGUCCGGAUUUAUUGGGCGUAAAGAGCUCGUAGGCGGCUUGUCGCGUCGACCGUGAAAACUUGGGGCUCAACCCCAAGCCUGCGGUCGAUACGGGCAGGCUAGAGUUCGGUAGGGGAGACUGGAAUUCCUGGUGUAGCGGUGAAAUGCGCAGAUAUCAGGAGGAACACCGGUGGCGAAGGCGGGUCUCUGGGCCGAUACUGACGCUGAGGAGCGAAAGCGUGGGGAGCGAACAGGAUUAGAUACCCUGGUAGUCCACGCUGUAAACGUUGGGCGCUAGGUGUGGGGGACCUCUCCGGUUUCCUGUGCCGCAGCUAACGCAUUAAGCGCCCCGCCU